rnacentral:rRNA from 1 species
AUUGAACGCUGGCGGAAUGCUUUACACAUGCAAGUCGAACGGUAGAGGGGGCAACCCCUCGAGAGUGGCGAACGGGUGAGUAAUAUAUCGGAACGUGCCCAGUCGUGGGGGGAUAACGUAGCGAAAGUUACGCUAAUACCGCAUACGAUCUACGGAUGAAAGCGGGGGAUCGCAAGACCUCGCGCGAUUGGAGCGGCCGAUAUCAGAUUAGGUAGUUGGUGGGGUAAAGGCUCACCAAGCCAACGAUCUGUAGCUGGUCUGAGAGGACGACCAGCCACACUGGAACUGAGACACGGUCCAGACUCCUACGGGAGGCAGCAGUGGGGAAUUUUGGACAAUGGACGCAAGUCUGAUCCAGCCAUUCCGCGUGCAGGAUGAAGGCCCUCGGGUUGUAAACUGCCUUUUGUACGGAACGAAAAGGUUUCUAUUAAUACUAGGAGCGUCAUGACGGUACCGUAAGAAUAAGCGCCGGCUAACUACGUG